rnacentral:rRNA from 1 species
AUUGAACGCUGGCGGCAUGCUCUACACAUGCAAGUCGAACGGUAACAGGGUGCUUGCACCGCUGACGAGUGGCGAACGGGUGAGUAAUGCGUCGGAACGUGCCGAGUAGUGGGGGAUAACGCAGCGAAAGUUGUGCUAAUACCGCAUACGUACUGAGGUAGAAAGUGGGGGACCUUCGGGCCUCACGCUAUUCGAGCGGCCGACGUCUGAUUAGCUAGUAGGUGAGGUAAAGGCUCACCUAGGCGACGAUCAGUAGCGGGUCUGAGAGGAUGAGCCGCCACACUGGGACUGAGACACGGCCCAGACUCCUACGGGGGGCAGCAGUGGGGAAUUUUGGACAAUGGGCGAAAGCCUGAUCCAGCCAUGCCGCGUGUCUGAAGAAGGCCUUCGGGUUGUAAAGGACUUUUGUCAGGGAGGAAAUCCCUAGUGCUAAUAACACUGGGGGAUGACAGUACCUGAAGAAUAAGCACCGGCUAACUACGUGCCAGCCGCCGCCGUAA